AAAAUGGUCGAUCCAUGAAAAAGAUUGAAGAAAAUCUUCAAGUUCGCAGCUACAACUUUUGCGACCUGAGGUUCUUAGCCUCAACUUAAUCAUUCACAUCCAUCCUCUGGCAUUAUUUCAAUUAUAUAUUGGGCAAUAUCCUGAUUGAAAGCCAGCAGCUCCAGCAACCAGAUGAUGUCUUUUGAAAAUGGUUUUGAAUGAUCUCCUGAUACAAAUUCUUGAACAACAUUGUUGACCUCAAUCAAACUACACCCAGGAGUUUUCUUCAUGCUCUUACUUCUUAUAAGUUUCCGCAUCCUUGACACAUCCUCCCAUUUGCCAAGAUCUGCAUAUAUAUUGGAAAGCAACGCAUAAUUCCCUGUAUCAUCCGGUUCGAAUUUUUCUAGUUGCUCCAUUGCAAUGACAGCAAUUUCAAUAUUGCAGUAAGUCCUGCAAGAACUUAAUAAAGAACCCCAUAUCUUGGAAUCUGGCUUCAUAGGCAUCUUCUCUAUAAUGUCGAGAGCCUGAACGAGGCAUCCUGCACGUCCAAGAAUAUCAACCAAACUGCCAUAAUGCUCAAUUUCUGGCUCUAUACGAAAAUCCUUUCUCAUGGUAUCAAAAUACAUUAACCCCUCCUGCCAAAAACCAGCAUGGGCACAAGCUGAUAAAAGACCCAGAAACGUAAUGCCAUUAGGUUUUAUUUUUGUUUUCUUCAUUAUUUCAAACAUUGCAAUUGCUUCACGAGCUUUGCCGUGAUUUGCCAUCCCUGCGAUCAUUGUACUCCAAGAAAUCACAUCCCUUUCAUGCAUAUGAUCGAACAACUGGCAAGCUGGAUCAACGCAACCACAUUUUGUAUACAUUUCAAUAAGAGCGUUGCAGAUAUUGGUUCUCCUCAAUAGCCCAUUUCUACCACAGUACAUGUGUAUCCAUUUUCCAACUUCAAGAGCUCCCAGCUGAGCACAUGCUGGCAAGACAGAAACAAUACUUGCUUCAUCAGGCUCAAUACCAACAACUUGCAUCCUCCGAAACAUAUCUAAUGCCUCCGCAUACGACCCAAUACGAGUAUACCCAGAAAUCAUCGCCGUCCAAGAUACUAUAGUCCUAUUAGGCAUUGCAUCAAAAACAGCUCUUGCCUUUCUCAUUUGACCCAAUCUAACAUGCCCAGAAAUAAUACUAUUCCAUGAAAUUGCAUCUCUUUCAUCCAUUCCAUCAAACAAUUUAUGUGCAUCUAACAAAUUAUCACACUUCGCAUACAUAUCAAUCAGUGCAUUCUCUGUGAUAGGAUGGGACUUCGGCCCAAAUUUGAAGACAUGGGAAUGAACUUGCUUACCCAGAUUAUGGAACACAAGCCUUGCACAAGAUUUUACCACAAAAGGGAAUGUGAAUUCGUCAGGAAAAAUUGGAUUUUUACUUCUUUGGGAAUUUUGCCUCAGCAUUUGCUUGUAAAAAGUGAUUGCUAGGUCAUAGAUAGAGUUGUGUGUAUAGGCUCUUAUCAUUGCAUUGUACAAAAAGGCGUUUGGUUCUAUGACUUGCUUAAAAAGCAAGCCUCCAUAAUUCAUAUCCUCGCAAUAAUCACAAACAUCUACCAUUUUUGUUACUAGGAAGCUGCUUUGUGACAGUGAGUACUUGAUAAUAAGAGCAUGGUGUUUCUUCAGUUCUUCCAUGUUCUUGCAAUUCCGCAAAAUGGGUACAAAGAGAUUU
rnacentral:misc_RNA from 1 species